UAACCUGCCCAAGAGAUCGGGAUAACACCUGGAAACAGAUGCUAAUACCGGAUAACAACAGAUGAUGCCUAUCAACUGUUUAAAAGAUGGUUCUGCUAUCACUCUUGGAUGGACCUGCGGUGCAUUAGCUAGUUGGUAGGGUAACGGCCUACCAAGGCGAUGAUGCAUAGCCGAGUUGAGAGACUGAUCGGCCACUAUUGGGACUGAGACACGGGCCCAAACUCCUACGGGAGGCAGCAGGG
rnacentral:rRNA from 1 species